UAGUAGGAUACAGCAGUAAAGCUACGUGCGUAUACGUAGAAGCAGCAAAUGGAUAGACUACAUGCGUACACGUAGAAGCAGUAGAUGGAUAACGAACUAUAAGGUAUACAAUACUGUCCGCAAGCAUCGUAUAACUAACAAUUCGAAACCCAGGAGUAAAAGCAAAAUGAUUAUGAUUGAGGAGUAUAAGAAAUCAAACCUACAGGUAAUAUCUAAACAAAUAGUAGAUAGACUACAAGAGG
rnacentral:lncRNA from 1 species